rfam:Oryza sativa Japonica Group DNA, chromosome 12, cultivar: Nipponbare, complete sequence.
UUUAAAUGCAACCAUGAGUUUCCGUGCCUAACUUUGAUCGUCCGUUAUAUUUGAAAUUUUUUUAUAAUUAGUAUUAUUUGAAAAAUUUUUAUAAUUAGUAUUUUUGUUGUUAUGAAAUGAUAAAAUAUGAAUAUUACUUUGCUCGUAACUUAUGUUUUCAAAUUUUUUUCAAAAUUUUUCAAAUAAGAUAGAAGAUCAAAAUUGGACGCGGAAAACUAUGAAUACACUUAUA